UCUCUCUCUCUUCUCUGUCGAGACAAACGGCGAUUCAAAGGCGAUUACUAUGGAAACCAAAUAAUCAAUCGAUUCACCUUAAGCCUUCAGAUUUUUCCAGCUAAAUCUGGAGGAUUUUUGGUUGAGGAAGGCGAUGGACACUCGAUUCGGCUUAAACCGGAAGAUUUGACGCUUCAGUGACGAUAACCUCCCACUGCGACAACGACGGCGGCUUAGUCUUCUGAUGGUCUUAAGUAGACGGCGAGAUCCACUGGGAGACGAAUCGAACAGAGAAGAGUUAACUCGUAAGACCUCUUUUGGUGGAGAAGAAGUAGAGAACGAGACCAAAGCUGUCGCAUCAGAGUCUUCUUGUUUGAAAAGGAAUCGUCUCUUCAUCUUUUAGCUUCCUCGAAGUUAUGUUUGGAUCAUUUGUGGAGACAG